rnacentral:tRNA from 1 species
CGACAUAGCUCAGCUGGUAGAGCAACUGACUUGUAAUCAGUAGGUCCCGAGUUCGACUCUUGGUGUCGG